AUUGAACGCUGGCGGCAUGCUUUACACAUGCAAGUCGAACGGAAGCGCGGGCUUCGGCCUGGCGGCGAGUGGAGAAAGGGUGAGUAAUGCAUCGGAACGUGCCCAGUAGUGGGGGAUAGCCCGGCGAAAGCCGGAUUAAUACCGCAUACGACAUGAGGGUGAAAGCGGGGGACCGAAAGGCCUCGCGCUAUUGGAGCGGCCGAUGUCGGAUUAGCUAGUUGGUGGGGUAAAGGCUUACCAAGGCGACGAUCCGUAGCUGGUCUGAGAGGACGACCAGCCACACUGGGACUGAGACACGGCCCAGACUCCUACGGGAGGCAGCAGUGGGGAAUUUUGGACAAAGGGGGCAACCCUGAUCCAGCCAUGCCGCGUGCGGGAAGAAGGCCUUCGGGUUGUAAACCGCUUUUGUUCGGGAAGAAAUCCUCUGGGCUAAUACCCCGGGGGGAUGACGGUACCGGAAGAAUAAGCACCGGCUAACUACGUG
rnacentral:rRNA from 1 species